rnacentral:rRNA from 1 species
UACGGAGGAUCCGAGCGUUAUCCGGAUUUAUUGGGCGUAAAGAGAACGCAGGCGGUCUUUUAAGUCUGAUGUGAAAGCCUUCGGCUUAACCGGAGUAGUGCAUUGGAAACUGGGAGACUUGAGUGCAGAAGAGGAGAGUGGAACUCCAUGUGUAGCGGUGAAAUGCGUAGAUAUAUGGAAGAACACCAGUGGCGAAAGCGGCUCUCUGGUCUGUAACUGACGCUGAGGUUCGAAAGCGUGGGUAGCAAACAGG